GUGUCAGCAGCCGCGGUAAAACGUAGGGGACGAGCGUUAUCCGGAUUUACUGGGCGUAAAGCGCAUGUAGGUGGCUUGAAAAGUUGGACGUGAAAGCUCCCGGCUUAACUGGGAGAGGUCGUUCAAAACUGGCAAGCUUGAGGUUGGAAGAGGAGAGCGGAAUUCCCGGUGUAGUGGUGGAAUGCGUAGAUAUCGGGAGGAACACCAGUGGCGAAAGCGGCUCUCUGGUUCAAUACUGACACUGAGAUGCGAAAGCGUGGGGAGCGAACGGGAUUAGAAACCCGCGUAGUCC
rnacentral:rRNA from 1 species